rnacentral:rRNA from 1 species
AGAAUCAACGCUGGCGGCGUGCCUAACACAUGCAAGUCGCACGAGAAAGGGGAGCAAUCCCUGAGUAAAGUGGCGCACGGGUGAGUAACACGUGAAUAAUCUACCUCCGAGUGGGGAAUAACUGAGAGAAAUCUUAGUUAAUACCGCAUAACACUUACGAGUCAAAGCAGCAAUGCGCUUGGAGAGGAGUUCGCGGCCGAUUAGUUAGUUGGCGGGGUAAUGGCCCACCAAGACGAUGAUCGGUA